CACAGAAUGGGAGAAAAUCUUUGCAAACCAAGUAACUGACGAGAGAUUAAUCUCCAAAAUAUGCAAGUAUGUUAUCCUUGUAUAUUUUGAAGUUAUGGGAUAUUUUAUAUUUUGAAAUUAUGGGCUGAUAGAAAUGGUUGGAUUAAUCCUUUCCGUGUGUAUACUUAUUGUCAUUAAGUCAAGAUUUUUUAACUCCUAGACUGAUGUACACAUACACAAUAUACAUAUAUGGCCAGACAAUUGUAUUAUAAUUUUCUCUAGAAAGAAACUUUAACAUAUAUUUAUUUUAUACUUCAGCAUAAAAGAAAAGCUCAUUUAAGGCAAAUAUAAUUUACAAAUAGCUAAAGGGCUUGCAGAUACAGAAUACUGGAGUUCCCAUUGUGGUGCAGUGGGUUAAGAAUCUGACUGUGGUGGAGGUUGCUAUGGAGACAGAGGUUUGAUACCUGGCCUGGUGAGGUGGGUUAAAGGAAUCAGCAUUGCCAUAGCUGUGGCUUGGAUUCAAUCUAUGUCCUGGGAACUUCCAUUUGCCACAGGCACAGCCAUUAAAAAGAAAAAAAGAAAGAAAAUACAGAAUACCAUAUCCAACAUUUCCUAAAUUUCCUCUCUAACACCUAAAGACAUAAAGUUCUAUUGCAUAAGAGAGUGGUUCAACAUUUAAAACAAAAAUAUUUCUAUAAAAAGAAUUGCUUUUUCUAUAAAAAGCCUCCUAGCAGGCUUUACAAAGGAAAUAUAUCAGAUCAAAUGCUUUGCAUCAACUAAAAUAAAGCCCACACUUAAUAGGCCAGUUUUUUAGUUAACUUGAUAUUCAUAACAUGUCAAUUCACUCAGUUAAUGUUUAUGAACAUCAAAAUACUAAAAAUUACUGAUAAUAAAGGGACAUGUCACAAAGACUCUUUUUCUUAAAGUCCAGUUUGAAUAUAGUUAUUUAUUACAACCAACCUUUUUAUAGUACGUUAGAGUAUGCAAGGCACUUUCACAUGUAUUCCUUCACUCAACUUAUAGCCAUAUUCAAAUUUGUAACUGAAAUAAGAACUCCUUCAAUGUUUCUUAAAAACAGCAAAAUAUAUAUCCCAUUUAUCUUAUUAGAAUAGAAUUCCUUUUCCAUGUAUUAUUUCUCAAGGAGUGGGUGUAUAGAGAAGACAUUUGCAUAGCCAAGAUAAUAUCUGCAACAUAUUUUACUCAUCUUUUUUAAAUCCAGUUUUCUAGGUUAAAAUAUGUAUUUUGGGGUAAAGAGGGAGUUUUCUAGACUGAAAAUAUGGUUUUUUGCGAGGAGGGAGGAAACCAUGUGGGGAGCCUGCAUCAUAUGAGAGGGUGAAACAAAUUGCAUUUGAAAAAUAUGAAGACAAUAUACAGAUGUAUAUUACUUUCUUAAUAUGAAAACUAAUUUGUUCUGCAUUAAAACCCGAGUCCAAAAUUGCAGUUUCCCAUUUUUAAGCUGUUUUAUUUUUCAUGGAUCACCUUCAGAGAGGCUCAAUCUCUGAGUAACAAAUCCUCAAAAGGAAGGGUAUACUUUUCAAGUAUUUCUGUUUUUCAGUUUGAAUUAGAAUUAUUUUCAUAUGAAUAUGUAUAUAUGUGAUCUUUUAUAUAUAAAGAUUUUUUUUUAAAUAAAGUAAGUAUCCUCACUGUCUCA
rnacentral:lncRNA from 1 species